rnacentral:ribozyme from 13 species
ACAUUGAAUUGUUGUUCUGUAAGGGUUUCUCUCCAUUCUCUUUCACUCUUUUGUACUUUUUGAGAGAGAGGAAGAGAGGGAGGAGAAAGGAAAGGAGGAGAAGGAAGAAGAGAGGAAGAGAUUUUGUUCUUUUUUUCUUUUUCUUUUUCUUUGUU